AUUGAACGCUGGCGGAAUGCUUUACACAUGCAAGUCGAACGGCAGCACGGGGGCAGCCCUGGUGGCGAGUGGCGAACGGGUGAGUAAUACAUCGGAACGUGCCCGGUCGUGGGGGAUAACGUAGCGAAAGUUACGCUAAUACCGCAUACGAUCUGAGGAUGAAAGCGGGGGACCUUCGGGCCUCGCGCGAUCGGAGCGGCCGAUGUCAGAUUAGGUAGUUGGUGGGGUAAAGGCCUACCAAGCCGACGAUCUGUAGCUGGUCUAAGAGGACGACCAGCCACACUGGGACUGAGACACGGCCCAGACUCCUACGGGAGGCAGCAGUGGGGAAUUUUGGACAAUGGGCGCAAGCCUGAUCCAGCCAUUCCGCGUGCAGGACGAAGGCCUUCGGGUUGUAAACUGCUUUUGUACGGAACGAAAAGGCUCUGGCUAAUACCUGGGGCUCAUGACGGUACCGUAAGAAUAAGCACCGGCUAACUACGUG
rnacentral:rRNA from 1 species